ACUAAUCUUGUUAGUUAGUGUCUGAUUUUAGUUCAUGCAUGUAUUAGAUCAAAGAUAGCACGUAGGCUGCGGCAAGUACAUACAUGGGUACAUGCAAGCUGAUGUGUCAGUGUUAGUUAGCUGGCUAUAUCCAAGGCGCAUUGCGUUUGGCCGAGUCAUGUGGUAGACGUUCAGAGAGAAGUAGUAGUCGUUAGUUCUGACAUGUGCUAGCUUCUAGUGAUCAGCAUUGACUUGGUAGUGCCUCACGUCUGUGUGCAUGCACUCGGUAGUGGGAAGUGAUCGAGUGAGUAUAGGAUCAGGCCGUUGUGCCUGGCAUGUGUGCGUGCAUUGUGUCCUAUUUAAGCACUGUAAUCAGUUUGGUUAAGUAUAUGAGAAAGAGUGGAAAAUGUAGCACUUGUGGUUGGGAGUCUCGCGGCAAAGCUUCUGUGUUCUUCCUUGAUACAUGUGUGUGUGUGUUAGCCUGGGUGUGUUCUUGUGAGAGAGUAGAGAGAGGUUGAAGAAGAAGGGGAGCUGCGUGUGGCAGCUCCUACAUUUGGUAUCAGAGCCUCGUGCGAUCGAGGUUGGAGUCUCCAUCAUCGUCAAGCUGCGUCACGAGCGAUGGAGGAAGGUAUGCUGCCCGGUAAGUUGCGUCAUCGGCGGCAAGGAGGUGAUGGCCAAGGUGCGGAGGCCAUUACCGCGAGAAGUUCAUCGUCCAUGUCCGAGUCGUCGACAAGGUGCGUCAUCGGCGGCAACAUGGAGGCGAGUCACCGGCGAGUUGCGGCACCGGUGGCGAACAUGGAGGCGAGCCACCGGCGAGGUGCGGCACCGGCGGCGAACAUGCGGCAUCGAGUGUGUCAUGGCGACACGCUCGCGGUGAAGGCGUAGGUGGUGCGUCUCUCGUCGAGGCCAGCAACGGCGACGGCAAUCGGCGUGACAAGAUGACAUUGGCGGCCGUCUCCGUGUUGCCCCGAUGGCACCGUCGAUAAUGGGCUUCGAGAGAGGAAUAAAUAGUAACAAGAUUAGAGAGGUGAUUGUUGGAACUAAUCUUGUUAGUUAGUGUCUGAUUUUAGUUCAUGCAUGUAUUAGAUCAAAGAUAGCACGUAGGCUGCGGCAAGUACAUACAUGGGUACAUGCAAGCUGAUGUGCCAGUGUUAGUUAGCUGGCUAUAUCCAAGGCGCAUUGCGUUUGGCCGAGUCAUGUGGUAGACGUUCAGAGAGAAGUAGUAGUCGUUAGUUCUGACAUGUGCUAGCUUCUAGUGAUCAGCAUUGACUUGGUAGUGCCUCACGUCUGUGUGCAUGCACUCGGUAGUGGGAAGUGAUCGAGUGAGUAUAGGAUCAGGCCGUUGUGCCUGGCAUGUGUGCGUGCAUUGUGUCCUAUUUAAGCACUGUAAUCAGUUUGGUUAAGUAUAUGAGAAAGAGUGGAAAAUGUAGCACUUGUGGUUGGGAGUCUCGCGGCAAAGCUUCUGUGUUCUUCCUUGAUACAUGUGUGUGUGUGUUAGCCUGGGUGUGUUCUUGUGAGAGAGUAGAGAGAGGUUGAAGAAGAAGGGGAGCUGCGUGUGGCAGCUCCUACAUCGUCGAGGCGGAGAGGUCCGACAGCUGCGCGACGAGGGCCUCGCCUCGUGGCCGUUGGCCGUCUUUUUCAACCACUUCGACAUCUUCACUUGCGACGAAGAAUAUGAUGGCGUCGGCAAGACUGCAACAACAUUUUUAUCAAGGUCCUCGAUCUUCUUUGUUCUACUUCCGGGUUGCUCACAAGGACACAUCUUUGCUAGGUGCUCGAGAAAUGGAAGAUAGCAGAUCCAACAACAACUGAUGCCAUGGUAGAUCAAGUACUCGCCAACAACCCAAAGAAACUCAAGCACUAUCGGGCUAGGAAAACUAAGUUGCAGGGAUUUUUCACUGGCCAAGUGAUAAAUGCAUCCAAUGGUAAAUCAAGUACUUCACUAAAUAUAAUCCUCGGAGAGAAGUUAAAGGUCUUUCGUUGAUAUCAAAGAACACCCAUUUGGGUAUGCGAUCCAGAAAAAUAAAAGAGCUACUCUUGAGAGGUGUUUCAGCUUAUCAAGUGGUCCUUGAUAGGCGGAGCAUCCAAUGAGUGAAACCCUGCAGUGGGAGCUAAAUUUUCUGGGCUAAAACAUCUCCAAUUUGGAUUUGGUCAUUGUAGUUCUCACAUUGGAUUUGGGAUGUGAUUAUGUU